GAUGAACGCUGGCGGCGUGCCUAAUACAUGCAAGUCGAGCGAACGGACGAGAGGCUUGCUUUUCUGAUGUUAGCGGCGGACGGGUGAGUAACACGUGGAUAACCUACCUAUAAGACUGGGAUAACUUCGGGAAACCGGAGCUAAUACCGGAUAAUAUUUUGAACCGCAUGGUUCAAAAGUGAAAGACGGUCUUGCUGUCACUUAUAGAUGGAUCCGCGCUGCAUUAGCUAGUUGGUAAGGUAACGGCUUACCAAGGCAACGAUGCAUAGCCGACCUGAGAGGGUGAUCGGCCACACUGGAACUGAGACACGGUCCAGACUCCUACGGGAGGCAGCAGUAGGGAAUCUUCCGCAAUGGGCGAAAGCCUGACGGAGCAACGCCGCGUGAGUGGUGAAGGUCUUCGGAUCGUAAAACUCUGUUAUUAGGGAAGAACAUAUGUGUAAGUAACUGUGCACAUCUUGACGGUACCUAAUCAGAAAGCCACGGCUAACUACGUG
rnacentral:rRNA from 1 species